rnacentral:rRNA from 1 species
GAUGAACGCUAGCGGCAGGCCUAACACAUGCAAGUCGAGGGAGAAGCCCUUUCGGAGGGCAGAAACCGGCGCACGGGUGCGUAACGCGUAUGCAACCUACCUUUUCACAGGGGGAUAGCCCGAAGAAAUUUGGAUUAAUACCCCAUAAUAUUGUUGGAUGGCAUCAUUUGGCAAUUAAAAAUGCGGUGGUGAAAGAUGGGCAUGCGUCCUAUUAGCUAGUUGGAGUGGUAACGGCACCCCACGGCUACGAUAGGUAGGGGUCCUGAGAGGGAGAUCCCCCACACUGGUACUGAGACAGGGACCAGACUCCUACGGGAGGCAGCAGUGAGGAAUAUUGGUCAAUGGUCGGAAGACUGAACCAGCCAUGCCGCGUGCAGGAAGAAUGCCUUAUGGGUUGUAAACUGCUUUUAUAUGGGAAGAAUAAGGUGUACGUGUACAUUGAUGACGGUACCAUAUGAAUAAGCAUCGGCUAACUCCGUGCCAGCAGCCGCGGUAAUACGGAGGAUGCGAGCGUUAUUCGGAAUCAUUGGGUUUAAAGGGUCUGUAGGCGGGCUAUUAAGUCAGGGGUGAAAGGUUUCAGCUUAACUGAGAAAUUGCCUUUGAUACUGGUAGUCUUGAAUAUCUGUGAAGUUCUUGGAAUGUGUAGUGUAGCGGUGAAAUGCUUAGAUAUUACACAGAACACCGAUUGCGGAGGCAGGGGACUAACAGACGAUUGACGCUGAGAGACGAAAGCGUGGGGAGCGAACAGG